AGAGUUUGAUCCUGGCUCAGGACGAACGCUAGCGGCGUGCCUAAGGUAUGCAAGUCGAACGGGGGGCGCAAGCCCCUAGUGGCGAACGGUCGCGUAACACGUAGACAACCUGCCCGGCAGUGGGGGAUAACAGCGGGAAACUGCUGCUAAUACCGCAUGCGGUCCCGGAAAGCAUUUUCCGGGCACUAAAGGAGCAAUUCGCCGAGAGAGGAGCCCGCGGCUGAUUAGCUAGUUGGUAGGGUAAAGGCCUACCAAGGCGAAGAUCGGUAGCCGGCCUGAGAGGGCACACGGCCACACUGGCACUGAAACACGGGCCAGACUCCUACGGGAGGCAGCAGUGGGGAAUCUUGCACAAUGGGGGAAACCCUGAUGCAGCGACGCCGCGUGAGCGAUGAAGCCCUUCGGGGUGUAAAGCUCUUUCGGCAGGAACGAUAAUGACGGUACCUGAAGAAGAAGCUGCGGCUAACUACGUGCCAGCAGCCGCGGUAAUACGUAGGCAGCGAGCGUUGUUCGGAGUUACUGGGCGUAAAGCGUGCGUAGGCGGUUUUGUAAGUCUGGUGUGAAAUCUCCCGGCUCAACUGGGAGGGUGCGCCGGAAACUGCAAGGCUGGAGUAUGGGAGAGGUAGGCGGAAUUCCUGGUGUAGCGGUGAAAUGCGUAGAUAUCAGGAGGAACACCUGUGGUGUAGACGGCUUACUGGACCAUGACUGACGCUGAGGCACGAAAGCGUGGGGAGCAAACAGGAUUAGAUACCCCCGUAGUCC
rnacentral:rRNA from 1 species